GACGAACGCUGGCGGCGUGCUUAACACAUGCAAGUCGAACGAUGAACUUGGAGCUUGCUCUGGGGGAUUAGUGGCGAACGGGUGAGUAACACGUGAGUAACCUGCCCUGGACUCUGGGAUAACUUCGAGAAAUCGGAGCUAAUACCGGAUAGGACCUUGCACCGCAUGGUGUGGGGUGGAAAGUUUUUCGGUUUGGGAUGGACUCGCGGCCUAUCAGCUUGUUGGUGGGGUAAUGGCUCACCAAGGCGUCGACGGGUAGCCGGCCUGGGAGGGUGACCGGCCACACGGGGACUGAGACAGGGCCCAGACUGCUGCGGGAGGCAGCAGUGGGGAAUAUUGCACAAUGGGCGCAAGCCUGAUGCAGCAACGCCGCGUGCGGGAUGACGGCCUUCGGGUUGUAAACCUCUUUUAGCAGGGAAGAAGCGAGAGUGACGGUACCUGCAGAAAAAGCGCCGGCUAACUACGUGCCAGCAGCCGCCGUAAGAC
rnacentral:rRNA from 1 species